rnacentral:rRNA from 1 species
UACGUGAGGGUGCAAGCGUUAAUCGGAAUUACUGGGCGUAAAGCGUGCGCAGGCGGUAUGUAAGACAGAUGUGAAAUGCCCGGGCUUAACCUGGGAACUGCAUUUGUGACUGCAUGGCUAGAGUUGGCAGAGGGGGUAGAAUUCCCGGUGUAGCGGUGAAAUGCGCAGAUAUCGGGAGGAACACCUAUGGCGAAGGCAGCUCGCUGGGACGUUACUGACGCUGAGACGCGGAAAGCGUGGGGAGCAAACAGG